GACAGAGGGUGCAAACGUUGUUCGGAAUUACUGGGCGUAAAGCGAGUGUAGGCGGUUUGGUAAGUCGGAUGUGAAAGCCCCGGGCUCAACCCGGGAAGUGCACUCGAUACUGCCAAGCUAGAGUAUCGGAGAGGUUGGUGGAAUUCUCGGUGUAGAGGUGAAAUUCGUAGAUAUUCGCAAGAACACCAGUGGCGAAGGCGGCUCACUGGCCCGGUACUGACGCUGAGGUGCGAAAGCGUGGGGAGCAAACAGG
rnacentral:rRNA from 1 species